rnacentral:lncRNA from 10 species
GGGAGGUGGUGUAAACUGGUUUUUGGUGAAAUUCGGCUCGGCCUCAUGCGAACCUAUCUAGGUCCGUCUCUGGAGUGGCCUGUCAUCGAUCGCGCCCUCCAUCGCUGAGCGACACAAGUGGAACCCCCCAGGACUGCAUUCUGCGAAACUACCCUGCUUUUCCCCCAGUUUUGGUCUGUGAACACAUUUGGGAAAUUCUUCUGAUCCUACCGCUACUCUCUUGAGAGAGAGAAACAAGGGAAAAAAAAGUUAAUUGCCUGAGGAUAUACUGCUAGUGUUGCGGGACAAAUAGAGACGGGAGAGGCCAAACAGAAUUCAGGACAACCCUUUAUUAUUAAGGUGAUCACUGGCUCAGUCGGACUGGGGUCCAGAAAGUCUGAGCCCGGAACAAAGGGAUCAAUCACCUUUUAAGCAAUUUGUGGCGGGAGUUUGGUGCUACAGGAAGCCUACUUGCAGAAGCAAGAACAAAGGCAGUUAAUUAUUCUUUUACAUUUGUUACACCACAUGUCUUACAUCCUUGGGAAUGCAUGCUUUUGUAGCAAUUGCUUAUCAACC